UAAGAUGCACAGCGUCAACACAUCAACAGUAUCUGAAUUUAUUCUCAUAGGCCUUUCUGAUGCUCCAGAGGUGCGUUUUUUUCUCUUUGUGCUGUUUUUGAUCAUCUAUUUGGUCACCAUGGCAGGCAACAUCACAGUCUUUGUUGCCAUUAGCACUGACACCCGUCUGCACAACCCUAUGUACUUCUUCCUUGGCAACUUAUCCCUACUGGAUCUCCUAUGCCCCACUAUUACCGUGCCAAAGAUGCUGGAGGUCUUGUUGUCUGAGAACAAUGUGAUUUCAUUCAGUGGCUGCAUACUCCAGCUGUUCUUCCUCAUUGAUGUUGUAGGCACAGAGAUUUUUCUCUUGGCUGUGAUGGCAUAUGACCGUUAUGUUGCCAUAUGUCAUCCGCUGCAGUACGUUAAUAUUGUGAGCAUGAAACUAUGUGCUCGCCUAGCCAUUGGCACCUGGGUAGUAGGAUUUUUUAAUUCUCUAUUGCACACAUCUUUGAUUUUUACACUCUUUUUUUGUGAUUCUAAUGAAGUUGACCAAUAUUACUGUGAUAUUCCACCUGUGCUGGCCCUCUCCUGCUUAUCUACUUACAGUAGGGAACUGGUGAUUCUUACAGUAGCUGGGGUCCUUGGAAGCAGUGCCUUUGUGGUCACUCUGGUCUCAUAUAUAUAUAUCCUUUUGGCUAUCCUGUACAUGAACUCUGCUGAGAGCAGGCAAAAAGCUUUCUCCACUUGCAGCUCUCACUUGACAGUGGUAUGCCUUUUCUAUGGGACUACUAUUUGCACAUACGUACGGCCUUCUUCUGCCUACUCACCUGAUCAGGAUAGGAUAGUUUCCAUGCUCUAUGGGAUCUUCACUCCCCUGCUAAACCCCAUAAUCUACAGUCUGAGGAACAAAGAAGUCAAAUGUGCCCUUGGAAGAAUAAUCAGCCAGGUGAGAACUACUUUAACAAAAUGAGAACAUCUUUCCCAGUCUCUGGCCUCCUCUGGAAGCCCAAGCAAUUGGAUAGAGACUGCUGGUUAUGAUAUCUCCUCUUACUUUAGUCAUCUAAAAGAUAGGUGCUGGAAUAGAAACUCCUUCUCUGCUUUCCAUUUACAGUUAAAAGGGAGAGGUAUGCAUCUCCAGACAGCCAACUGGAUGGCACAACUCUGGGUCAUUAUUACAGGAGGAGCUGACCUUGGCUAGUAAUCUUUUCCUCCACUGAGCAUGGAAGAAGCUUAGGUGAGAAUCUUGGUCUUAAACAUGGGUGUUGCCAGCCAGGCUCCGCAUUUCCUCUAGGGGAAAUUUCUGCUAUGUCCUUUGCUGUUCUAUGAGGAAACACAGUACAAAUUACUACACAUAUUCGAAGCAAUCACUCAGAUUUUUUUGACAAGGAAGUCAAAUGCAAAUACCAUUCAGUUUCUGGGAGCCCGUGUCUCAAUACUCAAGGCAAACUAUGAAAUAUAAUUUGUUCGUCUCUGCGGGAAAUGACUUGGGAUGAUUCUAAUAAGGUCUCAGUAGAUGCAGUUUAAAAAGUUGGUGCCUGACAAACUGCAAUGACGUAACUUGGCAAGAGAGUUUAAGCCUGUUUAAAUUGGCUCCACUGUGCAUCGUUAGAAUCUCAAGCUUUCUCUCCUGGAAAUUAGCAGCUCUCUGAGCAUAUAGCCAGGUUUGAUUAUGGUUCUAAUCUAGGGGAAAGUGAGAGACUGUCUCAAAGGAAAAAUGUCCUGUGAAAACUAGAAGGAUUUCUACAGUGCUUUUGUUACGUCCCCCAAAACAGUGAGGGGAUUCUUGCCGAACCCAUUGACUUGGAAGAUUACAGGCCAAGCAGAGCUAGCUGCAUGCCCCUGUUAGGGGCUGGCCUUAAAACUGCUUGGACCGGGCUGUUUUCAAUACUUGUCAACUUUUCUAAACUCAGAAAUGGUUCUUGAGGGAGGUGAGGCCAAUUCAGAGCUGUCCCUGUCCCCUCCAGCUGCCUAGGGCUCCUGUUCUGCAGACCUUUUCGGGGGGGGGGGCGGGGGGCUGCUCCUUCUUCCCAGAUCCUGGCAAACACGAGUCAAUGUCUUGAAUAGACUCCCAAGUUCUGAAUUUAAUUUUAGAAGAGACAACAUUGUCAGGGUGUCACAUUGCACAUCUGCAAUGUGAAUUGCAGCGUGGGAUUAUUCCCCUGUGAAGUGUGAAGACAGGAGAAUUACCUCCAAGGACCUUUUCCCUGUAUCAGAAACAUGAAUGGCCAGUAGAGCAAAGAGACCAUUUUCGUCUUCACAGGUAAAGGCAGCAGCUGAGUCUGUCAUCAGCCUUGGGUCACAGUAAGCAUUACUAGCU